UAAUACGUAGGGUGCGAGCGUUGUCCGGAAUUAUUGGGCGUAAAGAGCUUGUAGGCGGUUUGUCGCGUCUGCUGUGAAAUUUCGGGGCUCAACCCCGAACUUGCAGUGGGUACGGGCAGACUAGAGUGUGGUAGGGGAGACUGGAAUUCCUGGUGUAGCGGUGAAAUGCGCAGAUAUCAGGAGGAACACCGAUGGCGAAGGCAGGUCUCUGGGCCACUACUGACGCUGAGAAGCGAAAGCAUGGGGAGCGAACA
rnacentral:rRNA from 1 species